rnacentral:hammerhead_ribozyme from 1 species
GUACUGCUGAGGAGUCCCACAAUAGGACGAAACGGUCGUUCAGUGC